AGGGCCGCACCAGCAGCAUAUGGAGGAUCCCAGGCUAGGAGUCAAAUCAAAGUCAUAGUCUCUAGCUUAUGCCACAGCCACAGCAACGCCAGAUCCAAGCUGCGUCUGUGACCUACACCACAGCUCACAGCAACGCCAGAUCCUUAACCCACUGAGCAAGGCCAGGGAUCGAAUCUGCGUCCUCAUGGAUACUGGUCAGAUUCAUUUUCACUGAGCCGCGAUGGGAACUCCUCAGUGUUUAAUGUUCUAUUUGUUUCAUAUCCUUCUUUGGUGCCAGACUGAAAGUGCCAUGAAGUCAAGGAUGGCUGCUGGUCUUUCGCUCCCUGGGGCCUGGGACAGAGCCUGGUGGAUCACAGAUGCUCAAUACACGUGAAUGUAAAACAUGAGGAGUAAAACAAGAGCCAGCGGGUCCCAGGCUGUGCUGAGGGACAAACCACCUCCAAGCCAAGCUCUACCUUUGCAUUUUUACAACAAACUUCCAAGGAGUCAGUGUUAAAUGUCCAAAGGGCAGCUGACUCCUUCCUUGCGGAUAACCGCGUGCCUAAAUUAUGGAAUAAUGAAUGAUAAUGAAGAAUAUGAUUUAUCUAAUAUUAUAAUAGCUAAUGACACGAUUAUUCCAUAAUGACUAAGAAAUACCCACAUUAGUAAAGAAGAACAAUGUCUAUAAAGAAGUAUAAGGCAACGAUAUGAUUUACUUGGAGCAUCUAAUAAAUGAAACAAUUUAAGUUCUGCCAAAAAAAAAAAAUUACAGAACACACCAAGUUACAUAGUGCAGGCCACCUAUUUUUUUUUGGUUGUCUUUUUAGAGCCACACCUGCGGCAUAUGGAGGUUCCCAGGCUAGGGAUGAAUCAGAGCUGUAGCCAUUGGCCUACACCCCAGCCACAGCAACGCCAGAUCUGACCCUCGUCUGCAACCCACACCAUAGCUCACAGCAUCGCCAGAAUCUUAACCCACUGAGCAAUGCCAGGAAUCAAACCCGUGUCUUCAUGGAUGCUAGUCAGAUUUGCUUCCGCUGAGCCACGACGGGAACUCCCAGUACAGGCUACUUUUCACAUGUUUUCCUCUAGGGCAUCUGGCUCAGGAGAGUAAAGAAGCAGACUUGCCCUCAGUGGUUCAGGUAGGUCUCUCACCUCUUGUCUGAUGGAUUCUUUCAUGGCUUAUAGCUCAGAAAUACAAGUUAACUACUCUAUUAAACUGAAAAAAAUAAAAACAACAACAAGAUUUUCCCAGGAUUGCAGGAAAAACUGGCUACAUCGGACUUAACAGGAGGUCGUAUUGGGCCCAACAUGGCCCCUUCCUCGGGAAUUUUCAAAGGCAAUUGUGACUCUAUUCAAUUUUCUCCUUUGGUUUGGACUUGAAAACCUAACUACUCUGUGAGCUUCAGCCUCUCCACACUUCCUGAGCAUAAGGCGUUAAUUACGGAGGAGCCAGUGUUUAGGCUGAUGCAGGCAGUGCCUUGGGAGAAGGGGGGCUGGGUUCAUCCCUUCCAUCAGGAUGAAAUGAACAUCUCAGUCUAAGACAGAAUCCAGGAACCGGAGAUGAGUCAGGAGCCUGGUGGGUGAGCCCCUGAUCCAGCGGACACUUGAGGGGUCCCUCUUGUGCCUCUGGUGGUGGAUGUUAUGCAGCUUUGAUUCGAGUCGAGUAAACGGGGUUGGGAACAGAGAUGACCAUGUCCACAAAGCUUAGCUCUUAGGACUGAGAAUCAGGACCAUCUGUGUCAACACAACUUAACUCUUUCUUCCAGGAAGUUAUUGUAAACCAAUAAAUAACUUCACUGUCUGUGGCAGGAAAUUCCUACAAAGCCAUCUGUCCUGGCAAAGGGUUUGCUCACCUGGCAAAACAGCUUGCUGAUCCAUGGGUUAUGCAUCAAGACUCGCUAAGACCCAUGUCUUGCUGUAUCCACCAACUCUGAACGAUGUUCCCACUCUGACUACCAUGCCACACACUUUGCUGAAAUCCAUCAGUUCUCUGCCUUAAAAAAACAGCGCUGAAAAGACCGGGACCUGGACCUCUAAAUCCUAUCAAUGUGCCUCCUGACCUUCCUCUGCUUAGAUUCCAAUAGGCCCAUGUCCUGACGGCAGUUGCCUGAAUGAACUUGGCUUUGCUUUAUCAGCAGGCUCUUCUGAUGGAUUUUUUUUUUUUUGGGUCUUUUUCGGGCUGCACUCACCGCAUACGGAGGCUCCCAGGCUAGGGGUCAAAUUGGAGCUGUAGCUGCCAGCCUACUCCACAGCCCAUAGCAACGCCGGGUCCGAGCUGCACCUGCAACCUACACCACAGCUCAGGGCAACGCUGGAUCCUUACACGACUGAGUGAGGCCAGGAAUCGAAUCUGUGUCCUCAUGGAUGCUAAUCAGAUUCGUUUCUUAUGAGCCGCGAUAGGAACUCCCUGAUGGAUUUUUUUUUUCCCCUGAAUUGACAAUAAAUCAGGUGUGGUCUCUUAGAAACAGGAAGCACAUACAUGUGAAAUAAUAUAUAUGUACAACCCGUCAGGGUGGGUAACUAGUAAAUAUGGUCAGUUUUCCUCAGUAAUAAAGAGGCCUCUAUGCCACUCCUCCUUUGAGGAAAAGAGCUGGGGUGUGAGUACCUGCCUAUGACAGAUCUGCCUGCACAUUUGACCUCCAUAUCCCUCCUCUUUUACACGAUUCUGUGAUUUCCAAAUUUUCUAUAAAGAGGAUGCGUUGUUGGGAGGAUGAAAGAACAUAAGGCAAAGGCCAAAAGAAGAAAACGAAUUCCCAAUGUGCAUUAGAAAUGAUUUCCUGGUCUUAAUUUAAAACACACACACAUAGAGUACAGAAAACACUCAUUGAGAAUCUUAUCUCAUUAAGCUAGCACGGUACCCCCGUGACACCAGCAGGCGAGUAGAAAAGUGAUACAGUUUUAUUUUAUUAUUAUUAUUAUUAUUAUUUGUCUUUUUGCCAUUUCUUGGGCUGCUCCUUCGGCACAUGGAGGUUCCCAGGCUAGGGGUCGAAUCGGAGCUGUAGGCGCCGGCCUACACCACAGCCACAGCAACACUGGAUUCUGGAUCCUAGCCGCGUCUGCAACCUACACCACAGCUCACGGCAACACCGGAUCCUUAACCCACUGAGCAAGGCCAGGGAUCGAACACGCAACCUCAUGGUUCCUAGUCGGAUUCGUUACCCACUGAGCCACAACGGGAACUCCGAAAACCUCUGAGGUGUUUGAUAAAACAUACCAGCAGAAAGCCAAAACCAAACCCAAAAACCAAAAAACCAGCCCAUCUAGAGUAAGGCCCAGGCAUCUGUGUGUGGUUCUCUUUUUUUAAGUGAGCAUUUAAGUGAUUCACAGAAUCAAGCAAAGUGUAAAUCACAUAAGCCGCCCUGAGUCACUUGAAUGCCAAGUCCAGCUCCCAUCAAGAAACAUCCAGCUGAAAAAGGACCAGGUGAGCAGCUGACAAAGAAAGGCUGCCUCAACUGUCUCACACAGGCAACUCCCCAAGCCUGGGGUCCUAGCCCCUUCUGGAAGCACUGACUCACAGAAGCCCGUUGCUACUGUAAAACCUGGGAGUUGCUCGAAGCCGCUCAGGCAGGCUGCAGGCCAAAGCUGGCUCAGAGAGGAAGGCCCCCCCCCGCCCCCCACCGAUUAGCAACCCCACCCCAAUCAGGGCCGCCUUUUACCUUAAAGAAACUUCCUCGCUUGUCCAGACCGCGGGCACCCAUGGUCCAAGCUGACAUUUCCCCCGGCAAGGCUCCACUGCACGUCUGGGACUCCUGAGUCCAGCCUGCAGGAAACUCCUUUCUAAGCCACAGAACACGCACAACAACAGCCCUGCCAAGAUCUUUUUCCAUCAACAACAGAGUGCCAUUUUCUUUCCCACCAAAGCCCUUCCAUCUCUUUUCAGGCUGAUUUCCUGCCUCAGACAGCACAGUUCCUAGACUGUGCCCCACCUCACUGGCCCACCUCCCGUGCCUCCAGCUGACGCAGAAGCUCUCUGGAACGGGCGGAAAGCAUAAUGAUUGCUUUGUGGGUUUGCUUGACCUCACGCUCAAGUCCUAAAGGGACAAUAUCAGAUGUCACCAUAAUCUGCUCUGAGGCUCAUGGAGGCUGAUCACGGAAGGACAGCGGAAGAAUGAGCCCUUCCAUGUCUCAGGAAAUCCUGCAGGAAUGGGGUGAGGUCAUCCUUAGCUCUGCUGCCCCUCUCCCCCCAGGCAAGGUCAACACGAGGGCACUGGGAAGAAACCCCUCUAUUUUCUCCUGAGAAACCAAAGAUGGGGCUGAAAUCCUGGGUCCCUGUUUACAGAGAUCAGUUUGGGUAAGAAAGAGCACGUAAGCAGCUCCAGGAUAAUGCAAGACGCAGGGGGUGGGAGGCGGACUUUGGAACGCAGAGGGGAAUUUCAGGGCGUGAUUGAUCCUGAAUCAUAACUGUGGCUAUUUGAGCUUGGAAUUGCCCUCACUGGAGCAUCAUAAUCCAAUAAUCUUCUCUCGGCUAUAACGCCUUCCAAGUCCACCUCUAAAUAAAACACACACACACACACACACACACACACACACACACACACACACACACACGCAAUUGAGUGCGCACGCACAAGCACACACACGCGCACGCCCCCAGGCUGCUGGCCUCGCCUCAGCCAGCGUGUACUGAGGAUGCCCAGGCGAGCAUUCCUGGACCAGCUUCCAGGACCAGGCACAAUUACAAAGCCGCCUUCCAGCGCACAUAACAGGCACAAGAGGUAGCUGAUCCUAAGCACAACCAGCGCCCAGUGGAAGGACAACAAAAGAAGUUAAAUGAAAACAUAUCUGUGGAUGUUAAAAGGGGUUCAGCUGCAGGGGUGGGGUGGGAAGGCACCCAAAUCACAGGAGUUUCUGCCCAUUUGCUGAGGCUGUCUCAUUAUUAGCUGGGGACAGAGAGGCAGGGGCACCAAGGGACAUCUCAGCAAGUGGUGAAGCACAAUUAUUUGGCAGAGAACUGCAUACAUUAGGAAGCAAUGAUCUUUGGAGCGAGGCACGUUUCAGUCCAUGACUGCCUCUCUGUUUAUGUUUACGGUGGGGUUCCGCUGACCAUGGAAUGUCAGCUAAGAAAAGGAGCAGGCAGCACACACCCACCCCUCCUUCUGGAGCUGUCACCUAUUUCGGUCAUUUCUCCGAGGCUUGGUCCCUUUAAAGUUUCCGCAGUGUCUCCCCUGUGACUCUUUCCACUUGCAAUCCUGCUGGGAUGAAGGUCAACAUUCCGAACGGUGAGCUCUCCACUGUGAUCCUGCUGACUCUGAGAGUCACGCUCUCGGGCUGUACAGCGCCCCAGCUCCGAGCCCUCUGAAGCCCAUCACUUAUGAGCAAAGUCCACGGGCUGGAGCGACUCCAGAAGGAAACACAGUGCUCUGUGCGGAACAAGGAACACAACCACAGCCACACUGUAACCUUGGGAAGCAAAUGAUUAACUGUUUCAAUCCAGACACACACACACACACACACACACACGCAAAUCCCUCCUUGAAACUGAGCCUAAUGCCUGUAAUUCUUUUUCUUCCAGACGCUUUUUCUCGGCAAGGAAUUUGACAUCGCAUAGCAGUUACAGAAAGGCUCGGCGAGAGCCAAGACUUUAUUCCUCAUCCAGACCCAAGUCUCUUUGUUCUGUUCGGAACUUUUCCAUGUACAAACCCUUUCAGAUGAGCCAUGGCAAGCAGAGAAUUUUGCCUAUAACCACAGAGCAGUCUGGAUCCCAGGAGCUGAUGUUUAAUUAGCUGCCUGAAGAAUGCACGUGCACACUUCCACCUUAAGGGGUCCUCAAGGAAACAUCCAGUGUGGAUUCCGUGGGCCAUGGCGGGUCCUUCCCACGGGAUGAAAUCCAAAUGGAUGGCACAUCACACAGCAUUCAAAUUUUUAAAAAUGAAGUUCUUAAGGGCCCCUGAAGAAGUCUGGGUUUCGGGUCUUUCCUGUUGUAGCAGCACUAGUUUCCUUCCCAAACCAUAGCCUCUAACACCUUAACUCAACAUGGGCAGAAAUUUUAUACAAUUUGAAAGGAGACUUUUUUUUUCCAUUGGUGGUUCCCACCCCUUCACCCUUCAGGGGUUACGCCAGCAGUUUCAUCCUGAAACCAUCCCAGUAACAGGCUAGACUAAGAAACAGAAAAGGUACCGUAGUUGGAGAGGCUGUAAAAUUCCUCCAGACUUAAACGGUGGAAGCGUGUGCCUUUCCUGGUUUUCUUGAAAGGUAGAGUGGAUUCCCCAACAAGGAGCCCAGCACGUCCAGUGGAUCUUUCCAGAUGCUAGCUAAAAGCUAGCAGAGAGAGAGAAUGAGAGAGAGGGAGGGAGGGAGAGAGGGGGAGAGAGACAUUGAGAGACAGAGAGAGAGAGAGAGAAAGCCCUAAUGGGACUAAAGGACACUGCAAACACUUUGGAGCUGCCAAGCCUUUUCAAUAACACCACUGAAAGAAUGUAAACGAAGCUAGUUGCUGCAGUCCAGCGAAAGGACAAAGGCAGGAAGUGAGUAUUCCUCUCUCCCUGGACACCCGACUCGGCCACUUUGGAGAAAGCCUCACUGUGGCUUCUAUGUGGCCCCAAGAGUGACCCAAGGAAGUGAAGUCCAUCCUGGAAUUUCAGCAUCCAGAAUGCAGAGUCAUCUGGCUGGGCUCCAGGUUGGCUUUCCAGUGCAUUCCAUCAGGAGCAGCUGAGGACGGACGCUGGGACACCCCCACCUGGACCUUGGCUGCAGGCUGGCCGAUGGAGGCUGGGACACCCGGGGCCCGAUUUCCAGUUCACUGAUCCACGGAGCUAAGUCUCUGGCAAAACACCAGCUUUUGCUCUAACUGGCCAGGGGCCAGAUCUGGGCAAGGUAGUCUCUCCCCCGAGAGGGACCUCCUCCCCUCCCUACCCGUCUUGGACUUACUGAGUCAGCCUAGACGCUUCCUAGUGCACCCACUUCUGGUCACAAGAGCAAAGCCACAAAGCAGAAGCAGGUACACACAGGCACCCACCACUCACUAGUCUGCUUUAAAACAAACUCGGCUUCUGCAAGUCGUGGAUUCUUAUCACCUGCUGCUGCGAACGUCGGCCACAGCAGCUUUCUCAUCACCCCCUUCUUUCUUCUUUCCCAGCAGUUGAAUGAAGCGAGGCAAAGUAGCCUCAGUCCUUUGGUAAACAAGAUCUCACUACUCCAAUCAUUUCACAGUCAAACUCACUGAAGUCGGAAAAAGUGACUCACCCCUGGGG
rnacentral:lncRNA from 1 species